rnacentral:rRNA from 1 species
AUGCGGAUCCCGGGGCUGCUCGCGGCGGCGGCGGCGCUGCUGGUGCUGCUUCUCGCGGUCGCCGGUGCGGCGGCGCAGGAGGCGGCGGCAGCGGGGGACGUGCGGCCGGAGGAGAUCGCGGCGAAGGCGAGGGCCCAGGAGGAGGCGGUGCUCGCGGCCGAGCUGGGGCAGCUCAGGGCGAAGGUCGCCGCGCUAGAGUCGAGCAUUGCAGCACAGACACUGGAGCUGAAUAGCAAGGACGGCGGCAUCGAAACACUGGAAAAGGUAACUGGGGAGAUGUCACAGAACAUUGCUACUCUGCAGAAUGAGAUAACUUCCCUCCAGUCAAAGGGAUCUAUAGCUGCAAAGGAGCAGGCAGGCAAGGUCAAUGCCCGGGCUAUUGAGCUUGAGAAGCAGAUUGAGAAGCUCAAGAAGGACAUAGAAGCACAGAAUAACAAAAAGGCGACCAUGGAGGCUAGAGCCACCGAUGCAGAGAAGAAGGUGCAAGAGCUGAAUGCUAAGCUGGAUAGACUUCAAAAGACAAGCGGCGAGCAAAAGGUUAGGAUUCAGAAGACUAAAAAUGCUCUUAAAGCUGCAGAGGAGGAGCUGAUGAAGGUGCAGUUAGAAGCAACAGCAAAAUCAGAGCAGCUCGGAGAGGUUCAUGGAGCAUGGUUGCCACCUUGGUUAGCAGCACAUGCAGCUCACUAUAUGGAGUUGAUGUCAAGUCACUGGAGUGAACAUGGAAAACCUGCUGUCAACAAUUUAUUGCAAAAGGCAUCAGAGAAAACAGUGCAGGCGAAGGAAUGGGCCGAACCCCAUAUAGAAACUGCUAAGGCGAAAUGGAUUCCUGUCAUUAAAGAAAAUUGGGCUACUGCAAAGGAAAUUGCAGAACCUUAUGUGCAAAUGGUCUCAGCAAAAUCAGUAGAGCUUUAUCAAGCAUCAAAGGAUGCUAUCUCACCUCAUGUUGUGAAAGCACAUGAGCUUGCUGAUCCCUAUUUCCAGGAAGCCAAGAAGUUAUCCAAACCUUAUAUUGAUCAAGUUGCUAAGGCCAGUAAACCACAUGUUGACAAACUUAAAACCACCCUGAAGCCUUACACUGAGAAGGCAGGCCAGGAGUAUGAAAAGCUUCGCGACACAGCUACUUUAUACCAUCAGCAGGCUCAGGUAACUAUCUUGGAUUACAUGCACCAACAUGAAUUAUUAAAACAAUUUGUGAAUGGGGAGUUGGUGUGGUUUCUGGCUGCUGCUUGGCUGCUUAUGCCCGUAUAUGUUCUGUACAUACUCCUAACAGAAGUCUGCUGCAUCACCAAGAAGAAGAAAAUCCCACGGAGUGAUAAGGGCAAAGUUUUGGUCAAUGGCCAUCGGAGACACAAGCGCCGACAUGCAGACAAGUAG